GAGUAGCCAUUGCUUGAGGAAGUGCUUUUGAAAAAUUGCACUUACGUAAGUAAGCGGGUGAGUAAAUCAGUAAGAUGCUGCUUGCCCUCCGACGAGGCCCCUGCUGUACGUCUGGGUGUGCUGUGUGUGCUCAGCUCCCUGGUGUAAUCCCGGGAGCUUCCCGGGGCCUCGGGUCAGGGACUCCUGUGUGACCGAACAGACAGUGGCCGCAGCCCCUGCUGUCAGGAUGUAGGCUCUUCAGGCAGGUGUUCCGUUUGUUUCACCGGGAAAGUUCCAGAAGCUGCUGUCCUCUUCAGCCGUGGCUGGCUGAAAUUCCCAAGGGAACGGGGAAGCUGUGGGGCGUCCCGUGUACGCGCUGCUUCCAGGCCCGACCCCUAGGACUCUGGGCGGAAGGGUCUCUGUUGCCAUGUGACCUGGUCGCCUGCGUGACUCAGUCUGUCAGCCAUUCUGGCGAGUUGAAGGACGUUCCGGUGCGUCAGGUCAGCGGGUUCCUCUCACGAUGGGGCCACGACUGUCCUCGCCAUCUCCAGCGUGUUGCUCAACAGCAUUGACCUGGCAGGACCACUUAAGACUUCAAGACUCCUGGAACUCCCUUGGUACCUGGGCCUCGUGCAGUGGCUUCUAGUGCAGAAAGUUAAAGGACUAGUUCGCAGGAAGAAGAGGUGAAGAAAGUUCUAAAUUGCUACCAAAUCAGCAGCCGGACCUGUCUCGGAAUUUCACAGUUUCUGUUUGAUGUAAAUGCUUCCUCAUUCCUAAUCCAGCGUGACGGUGUCCUAUGAAAAGAAGGAAUUUUGGACGCAAACACCCACACGGGGAGAACGCCAUACGAGACGACGGUGUCUGUGAGGCAAGGAGUUCUCAGGAUUGCCAGCAAAUCACCCAAAGAGGCACGGCCGAGACGCUCCCUCACGGCCCUCAGAAAAAAACCAUCCUGCUGACACCUUCACCUCAAACUUCCGGCCCCCAGACAGUAACGUAGCGUAUUUCUGUUAAGGUUGUGGUACUUCGCCACGGCUGUUCCAGAAAAGGAGCCCAGCCAUUUCUGUGGUCAGAGACAACGUACGACCUGACCCCACCACCUGUGUUACAGCUGGGCCGGACCUCCCACAAAGCCAGCCACCUGCAGGACCAGUGCCGUCCGACACGGCCUGCUCCGAGAUCUGUGCCCCGCACGUGCCCCCAAUACCAGCCGCCCAAGCAGACUGGCUUUCUUGAAGGGUUUAAAGGAAGUGCCAGAGGGGUGGGGAUGGGGCGCCCCAUUGGGCUCAGUGGGUAGAGCAUGCGACUUUUGAUCUCAGGGUUGUGAGUUCGAGCCCCAUGUUGGGUGUAGAGAUUACUAAAAAAAUU